AGGGAAUAUUGCGCAAUGGGCGAAAGCCUGACGCAGCGACGCCGCGUGAGUGAUGAAGGCCUUAGGGUCGUAAAGCUCUGUUGAAUGGGAAGAAAAAAAUGACGGUACCAUUCGAGAAAGGACCGGCUAACUUCGUGCCAGCAGCCGCGGUAAGACGAGGGGUCCUAGCGUUGUUCGGAAUCAUUGGGCGUAAAGCGUAUGUAGGUGGCCUUAUAAGUCAGGUGUGAAAGCCCCGGGCUCAACCCGGGAAGUGCAUUUGAUACUGUUUGGCUUGAGUACCGAAGAGGAUAGUGGAAUUCCAGGUGUAGUGGUGAAAUACGUAGAUAUCUGGAGGAACACCGGUGGCGAAGGCGGCUAUCUGGUCGAGUACUGACACUGAGAUACGAAAGCGUGGGGAUCAAAC
rnacentral:rRNA from 1 species